CGCUCAUAGCUCAGCUGGAUAGAGCACUUGGCUACGAACUAAGGGGUCGGGAGUUCGAAUCUCUCUGAGCG
rnacentral:tRNA from 1 species